rnacentral:lncRNA from 1 species
AGGAGGUGACCUCAAGAGUCUAUUGGACUCAUCUUCUAAGAGAGGAGAUAAGAAUGUUAAAGGGAUGUAGUAUUGAUCGGCCGCCCCUUUUAGACUCCUUUAGGGACUCUAAAAAGGGAAAGUAAGGGAUGCUAGCCUGUUAGGAGGUCCUUUUUUAAAUGCAUAUAUUUCUAUUAGAAAUCUGCUAUCUAGCUAGUUUAUAAGAGGUAGGG